GAAGAAAGGCAGGUGGGUGAGAGGUGCUGGGGCAGCCGGCUCACUCCUAACAGCCUGCAUCCAUUUUCUCUUCAGGUUGCUUUCGAUGGGGAAAAAUAGGCUAGACCUCAAAAUGGAGCCUGUUUCUGCAAAGGAAGCUGCUAUCGACAGCCUUUGUGCCUCGUUGUCUGUGGUUCUUUAAGGACUUUAUUGCAGAGCCCAGGAGCUGGCUGAGGACCCGUGUGGCGCCCUGUGCUACACCCCCACGCAGAGUGCGCUCAUCCAAGGGGCAGAGAAGGACUCCAGCAAGAAGUGAGCAUUCAAGUGUUUUAAAAAGCAGCAGCAUUAGUCAGCCUAACUGGCAAGAUUCAAACACCUGAGGAACAGUGCCCUUCGUUGAAAACCAAGGCUGGCCACCAGAAGGUCCGUGCCAGUGCCUUGCAUUGCUAUGAAGGCUCCCAGCAUCACCAGUUUUCCAUGGGAAAGCAAAGUGCCUCGCUUGCAGCCGUGCAUCAGAAAAGAGGUAGAGGACCAUGUCCAGAUUGCUCCAGCCAAAAGAAAUCUGCCUGCCUGCUCUGAUGCAGAUCUGCUGAAUGGACUUAUGGGAAUAAAUGUCCUGUUAAGGGCUGGCCUGAAGGACUUGGAGAUGCUUUCAAAUGAAUAAAAUAGCAGGUAUGUUUCAACUGUAACACUGACUUGGACCAAAAAAAACCAUACUUAACAUAAGAAAUGCGCAUUUCAGAUGAUGGCUGUUUGACCAUGGCCUUCUGAAAUUUUGUAUCAUGGAAGAAAGAGCAGACUGUUGUAUAACUGCCAGCUGCAUGGACUUCUCUGUCCUUCUUCAAUCUAUACAGUAUGGGACACUGUUUAAGAACUGCUUUAGAUGGAUGACUGUGCUUUCUCGGUAUUACAGAAUUCAAAUACUUGGCACAUUUUAAAUGUGUCUUCGUGUGGUCAUUCGUUUUUUUGCUGGUAAUGUGUUUUCUUUUACGCACUUAUUCCGUUUUGUGAACUUAUGUAGCUCAGAGAAAUGAGCAACCUCAAGGCACACAUGCUCCUUGCAGAGUACAGGACCCAAUCCAGUACACAUUGUAGGAAAAACUUCUGAAUCCUUUGGCCCCAUCUCUAAAAGAAAGUUCAAGUUUCCGAUCUAUGACAGCUGUUAGUACUCCAUUGAACAUUCCAUGUUCGAACCUGUACUUUGAAAAUUUGCGUCAGCUUUGCCACAAGCUUCAUGAGCCAGAUCUGGGCACUGCUGCCCACCAGAUAGAGCGGACUCAAAUGUGCCCCUGGGUCUGGAUGGCAGAACUGCCUGCACCAUGUGCCACACACUGAUGAAGCACAACAUAUCCAUUCUAUGCUCCGGUGACCUUUCAACCACAAAGCAUAGUUCUGCAAUGGCAAUGAAUACUGAUGAGGAGUAGGAACCUUCCUGUGCACCCAGGAGUAAUUUUUCCAACCUGGCAUCCUAAGGAAUGAAGCUGAUAUGACUGAUAACACAUUGCCUGUUCAUCUGCAUCCUACCGUAACUUCUGAGCCCCCUGGUCAAUUCUGAACAAAUUUAAUAGAUUGAAAGAAAUUUCCUGUAAGUUGCCUGGAAAUAAACAGUCAAGUAAAGGAAAACAGUUAUGUGAAUGUUUCCAGUGAGGAGAAGAUUGCAGCCUGAGCUCAAAUUUUAUUGCACAUUAUAAAAUCUACUCCACAGAGAGCUAGUAUGUGUGUCUUGAGUAUGAAAAAUCUUCAUUCAGAACACGCACCUAUCACAGGUCAUUUAAUUCCAACGUGAGACAGAAACCAUAAUCAAUUAGUAAUGCUGAUCCUUAAACUACUGAUGUUUAUCUGUCAAUGCAAAUUUUGUAUGACGUCUAUCGCAUCUUUUGGCAUCUUUUUUGGUACUAGACUGCACGUAGCGAAUUGAUUGUUUUAAAAUGCAUAUUGUAAAUAUUUUAUAUGGCUCUCAACCUGAUAAGGCAGUGACAGGGAAUGCCUGGUAUUUGGGGCAUCCUGGAGGGGUGAAAAUAAAUGAUGGGUCUCACCCCAGUGGUGCCCUUUGAAGAGACCCUCGUUAGCCAGAUAAUGCUAUGGGACAGUUGUGGUUAAAUCCCAGCGGGCCUUUUGGAGUGUCAUCCACAAAAGCUUUGCUGAGAGCUGAAGUAAUUAGUUCCAGCUGAGCACACAGGCACAUAACUUUAGAAAGGUCUGGCUACUUUCAUGCUAAGAGGGGAAAAAAACAAAGGUAUUUCUGUCCAGAAGGCAGGAUAACAUGCUCUGGAAAUGGAGAACAGCCUUUCUUAUUUUGUUUGGUGCUCAGCUAGGUGUGUGUUAAGGGGCAUAAGGUCUGGAGCUUCAGGGUGGAAUUGCAUUCACCGCAUGCAAAAAUUACGCUUUCCUAUUCACCGAGUAGCAGAAUUCCUACAGAACACUCUGCAGAAGUUUCUCAGCUUCACAAGGAAGGCCUCCGAGGGCACUUUUCAGCAGCCCAAGAGCUGACCUUCCUACAGGUGUUCACUGUGUGCUAGACAGUUCCCAGGGACAUAUGUAAAGCUCUCUCUUGGGAGGUUUUCAUAAAGCUUCUAAUCUAAACACCGGUAUCGCUGUGGUUUUUAUGUAUAUCUUUGUGUGUUCUGGCACCUGAUAAAAAUUGCAUUUUUGGGGAGUGAAUGUCACCUGGUGAUACCACAGCUUCCACUGAGGAUGUGCAUGGAGCGGAGUUCAUCCCCGGGUUAUAUGUGGGCUAUUCUUUUUUUUUUCUUUUUCUCCGAGAAACUCCAGGAAACACAUCUGAAAAACUCCCCUCUUGUGCUUCUUGUUUGGAUUUCUUCCCACUAUAAAAGGUACUAGUUAAAGCCCAGCUGUGCUCAGAAAAGUGACAGCUCAGCAGCUGAACUCCUGUUGUGUACAGAACGGUGAAAGCACAAAACUGCAGGCGCGCUCUUGGCCAAGUAUUGAUGAAGCAGACAUGCGGGUCCAUUGUUAGAGUGAGCACUAGUGACUCUUAAAUGCCAUCAGAUGGUUAAGGAUAGCCAGUUAGGGCUUAAUGGCUCCUCUCAGGGUUCUGGGAAACAAACUCGUAAAAAGCAGCAGAGGCCCUAUUGCAUUGCUCUGGUUUUCGAGAGGCCACAGUGGCAUUGGGCUGAGCGUGCUGCAGGGAGGUUCCCUGAGACAAACAGGUCCGGCUGAGCAAGGCUCUGCCCUUGGUGUGGGCUAGGUCAAUGCUUUUUCAGUAGGCACAGCGGGGUCCUGGGAUUUACUGCAAGCUUCUAA